UGCAUUCGAUGAUAACAUCAUGUUAUUAAAGUUAUAAAUAUAUAACAUUCAAUUCAUAUUCAUAUUUCAUAUUAUAGUUAUGUACAUAUUAUGAAUUAUGAAAAAAAUACUUAUUAAAUAGUAACACUGCAAAAACACAAAUGAUAAUGGAGGACGAUUUAAAUAUUUAAUAGAAUUUUUGAGAAGGCGAGGUGCAGCCGAAUAUAUUAUUGAAGAGUUUCAAAAUGAAAAGAUUGAUAAAAGUAUACUGACGUUAAUGGAUAUUAAUGAUACUAUGCUUUUGAAAUUAAUUCCACAUUAUGGUGAUCGAUUGGCAGUUUUAGAUUUUGUUAAAAAAACUCACAGUCUUAAACGUAAAACAGAUUCAUAUGAGGAAUUAAGUAAUAAAAUCAAUGCAAAUAAAAAAGAAAAACUUCAUCUAGAAAAUAAAACUCAUGCAAUAAAAACGGUGAAGUGUAUUGAAAUUGGUUGGAUGCAUUUUGAUUGAAAUUUGUGCAGAUAUAGACAAGUUCGUAAAAAAGAGGGAGGAGGUACCAGAAAUAUAAAAAUGCUUAAGGAAUGUAAUAAAACAGAAAUUAUGGAUGCUGCAAUAAAAAUAUUUUUUCCCAACGGUCAGUCAACUAAAGGUUCAAUAUGUGAUUUUCAAACGGAUUUAUUUGAUUUUCAAUAAAUUCCAUUUAUGGAAGGUAUAACUAUUUCAGAACUGAUACAAAAUACAAGAUUAAAAUCAUUAAGGUUUUACUUAGCAACAAAAAGGAAGUAUACAUCUGAAUGUUGUGAUAACACUGAUUCUAAUUGCAUUGCUCCAAAUUAAACUAUUGAUCGUGAAAACCUUUCAACAAUAACAAAUAGUUUAGAUGAAUAUCCACCUAAAAAUGAUGAAUCUAAUUACUUGGCUUCCACUACACCACCAUUGAUUGAUGAUGAAUAUGAUGAUGAGGUACUUAUAUCUUGGUUUCAAACACGUGGCGCUACAAUACACCAUGAACCACAGAAUCAUAAUUAUAAUUUGAAUGCACCUGCUACUGUCACAUCCGAAAGUGAAUUGUAUUUACCAAGUAACACCAGCAAUAAAAUAAUUACUAGUACUACGGAGAAUUCAAGGUCUCCCUCAGUUCAUGUCAUUACAACUGUUGAAAAUGUACCUACAAAUAGUUUUCCUGAUAUUGAUAACUUUCAAAAUCAUAACCACUUAAUCCUUUAUCGAGGAAGAAUUUUUCAUGAGUUAUUAGAUGCAGUUGAAAACAUUGAUAAGACCUGUGACCAAUGAUGACUGGGAAAAAUAUAGUUUCUUAAAUAUUAUUUCUUCUGCUGAUGAUUUACAAAAAAUGUAAAGAAAGAUUGAGAAGAGUUGAAACUAGGACUGACAUAAAUACUGAAACUGACGAAGAAUGUGCUAAGAAAAACAGGAAAAAACGCUGUGCUAGAAAAAUAUUUGAUGCCUAGAAAAAAUCUCCUGUAAAAUCGGCAAGAAAACAAUUGUUUAAAACACCUGAUAUUGAUGAUUUCCCUGUUCUAAUGAAUUCAGAAGAUUCAGAUAAUCCAUCUCAAAAAACCACAAACAUAGAACCACGUUCGCCCGAAAUAAAAAUGCCAGUUAUUUACCAGUCUCCAUAUAAUCCCAAAAAUGUUCCUGAUAGUCACAACAUGAUAACCAAUGACAUAUUUAUAUCAGAAGAGCAGUGAACAGACUCAAUUUAAUUCUCCUAAAAAAGUAAAACCGACCCAUAGAUCUCCAUAUAAUCAUAGUAUUUUCAAUAUCGAUGAUGAUCAUAACGUGAUAUCUAACGGUGAUGAGUAUUUAUCCCAGAAAAGCAGCAAUAAGACCGUUUUGAAUUCUUCGAAAAAAAGGAAAACCAACCUACAGAUCUCCAUAUAGUCAUAGAAGUAUUUUCAAUACCAUUAAUGGUCAUAACAUGAUAGAUAAAGGUGAAUAUUAAUUUACUCAAAAAAGGCAUGAACUAAGUCCAGAUAAUAUGUUUGAUUACAAUACUAUUGAUACAAAUGCUAGUAAACACAGACUAAAAACAAUGCAUUAUAAUAACUGCAGAAAUUCUCCAGAAUUUAUUUUUAAAAGUGGUAAACGUACCAACUCUAAACUACUCUCUCUGAAAAAUCAACACACUGUAGCUUUUAACUCUCCCAAAAAACGAUUUUCUUCUCAACAAAUGCUGAAUAGUCUACCACCUGAUGUUUGUUUGAGAAAACUUUUGGCCAAUCAAGUUGUCAUGAAAAUUGAAUAGAAAUCCAUCAAUAAACAAUUAAAGAAAAUAACUGAGUUUAAGGAUAAUCACUUGGAUAUCGAAAAAGAAGACUUCUCCAAUUUAGACUGUUUAUUUCCUUUAGAAAGUGAGAAUGAUCUAAUAAACAUUGAAAAUCAAAUUCAAAGUACUGCAACUUGUAGAAAAAAAUUGGUAAAAGAAUUAUCCUUGUCUGGAGGAUCGAAAGUAAAAAUUAUACAGCAAGAAUUUUAAACAAACUAUUCAAAGAUGAACUACUUCAAAAUUACUCCUACUUUGGCAGGAACAAAAAAAAAAGAAAUUUUCCAGCCUCUCAAUAUGCAGUAUAAUUCAUGAUGCAGUUCAACGCGUACACGAUUUUAAAGAUACCAGUACAACCGACAUUGAGACCAGAAUCGGCAAUCAUCUUAUUCAUGCACCAUUUCG